rfam:Otolemur garnettii contig139679, whole genome shotgun sequence.
GGCUGCUUUGACUGCACAUAUACUAAAAUCGGGACAUGAAGGAGAUUAGCAUAGUCCUUGCUCAAGGAUGACACACAAAUUUGGGAAGCAUUUCAUAUAUUU